rnacentral:rRNA from 1 species
GACAGAGGUGCCAAGCGUUAGGCGGAAUCACUGGGCUUAAAGCGUGUGUAGGCGGAGUGCUAAGUACCUUGUGAAAUCCCCCGGCUCAACCGGGGAACGGGCGCCGAAACGCCCCGUCUCGAGGGACGUAGGGGGACCUGGAACUUCCGGUGGAGCGGUGAAAUGCGUUGAGAUCGGAAGGAACGCCCGUGGCGAAAGCGAGGUCCUGGACGUCUUCUGACGCUGAGACGCGAAAGCUAGGGGAGCGAACGGG